GGAUCCAGGGGUGGAUGCUUGCCCAAUGGCUCAGUCUGAAAUAUUAAGGAUGCUUUAUUUGCAUGGGGAAGAACUUCAAGUGUUGUCCCUUUGUGACUGGUUGAACGCCCUCUCAAUGGGUGUUAUAGUUAUGUGGUCCAGGACAGGUAGACCCUGGCAGGGAGCUGUUUCCAACUCCUGCUGUUCUCAAUUAUGAGAAUUCCUGGGAUUUUUGAACCUGCUUCAGUCUUACCAGGUCUCCAGUCUGGUGGCACCAUCCACUUGCCCCACAAGCAAGUAUGUCACUGAGAGAGUGGUGUGUCACUGUGGGGAUGGUGUGUCACUGUGAGGGUGGACUUUGAGACCUUCCUUCUAGCUGCCUGAGAGCCAGUCGUCUUCUGUUUGACUUCGGAACAAGAUGUCGAACUCUCAACUCCUUCUCCUGCAGCACGCCUGCCUGAAUACUGCCAAGCUUUCUGCCUUGAUGAUAAUGGACUGAGCCUCUGAACUGGUUUCUUAUAGCCAGCACUGCCCUGAGCCUUCUGGUUCUGCUGGAAUGACAGGCAUUCGUCACACCAAGCUCAACAACAACUAUCACCUGAUUAAAUUACACCUUGUAAGUCACCCACUAA